rnacentral:rRNA from 1 species
GCAAGUCGAACGAACCCUUCGGGGUGAGUGGCGCACGGGUGCGUAACGCGUGGGAACCUACCUUUAGGUCCAGGAUAACAGUUGUAAACGACUGCUAAUCCUGGAUAAUGUCUUCGGACCAAAGAUUUAUCGCAUUUAGAUGGGCCCGCGUUGGAUUAGGUAGUUGGUGGGGUAAAGGCCUACCAAGCCGACGAUGCAUAGCUGGUCUGAGAGGAUGAUC